rnacentral:lncRNA from 1 species
GAUAAUUGAUGAGUAGGUGCAGCCGUCCAGGAUUUCUGAAGCAUGAUCCUUCGGCCUGUUAAAGGCACAUGAUGAAAGGCAAAAGCUCACAUUUUUAAAAACAAAAUUAUUUGAAUUGAGUAUUAACUGUCAAACAAAAUUUGAUUUUGUUGUUUUAUUGUGCAAAACUGUAAUGUUGCUUUUGAUUAAAGGUUAUAGUGUGGUUAUUGUAACUUUCGGCUCAAUUCAGUCCAUCCAAAGAAAAUCUUGGUUCUUACACCAUCCCCC